rnacentral:rRNA from 1 species
AGUCGAACGGCAGCACGGGGGCAACCCUGGUGGCGAGUGGCGAACGGGUGAGUAAUACAUCGGAACGUGUCCUGUAGUGGGGGAUAGCCCGGCGAAAGCCGGAUUAAUACCGCAUACGCUCUGCGGAGGAAAGCGGGGGAUCCUUCGGGACCUCGCGCUACAGGGGCGGCCGAUGGCAGAUUAGCUAGUUGGUGGGGUAAAGGCCUACCAAGGCGACGAUCUGUAGCUGGUCUGAGAGGACGACCAGCCACACUGGGACUGAGACACGGCCCAGACUCCUACGGGAGGCAGCAGUGGGGAAUUUUGGACAAUGGGCGAAAGCCUGAUCCAGCAAUGCCGCGUGUGUGAAGAAGGCCUUCGGGUUGUAAAGCACUUUUGUCCGGAAAGAAAACCUCCGACCUAAUACGGUGGGGGGAUGACGGUACCGGAAGAAUAAGCACCGGCUAACUACGUGCCAGCAGCCGCGGUAAUACGUAGGGUGCAAGCGUUAAUCGGAAUUACUGGGCGUAAAGCGUGCGCAGGCGGUCCGCUAAGACAGAUGUGAAAUCCCCGGGCUUAACCUGGGAACUGCAUUUGUGACUGGCGGGCUAGAGUAUGGCAGAGGGGGGUAGAAUUCCACGUGUAGCAGUGAAAUGCGUAGAGAUGUGGAGGAAUACCGAUGGCGAAGGCAGCCCCCUGGGCCAAUACUGACGCUCAUGCACGAAAGCGUGGGGAGCAAACAGGAUUAGAUACCCUGGUAGUCCACGCCCUAAACGAUGUCAACUAGUUGUCGGGUCUUCAUUGACUUGGUAACGUAGCUAACGCGUGAAGUUGACCGCCUGGGGAGUACGGUCGCAAGAUUAAAACUCAAAGGAAUUGACGGGGACCCGCACAAGCGGUGGAUGAUGUGGAUUAAUUCGAUGCAACGCGAAAAACCUUACCUACCCUUGACAUGUAUGGAAUCCUGCCGAGAGGUGGGAGUGCCCGAAAGGGAGCCAUAACACAGGUGCUGCAUGGCUGUCGUCAGCUC